CCUACGGGAGGCAGCAGUGAGGAAUAUUGGUCAAUGGACGAGAGUCUGAACCAGCCAAGUAGCGUGAAGGAUGACUGCCCUAUGGGUUGUAAACUUCUUUUAUAUGGGAAUAAAACGUUCCACGUGUGGGAUUUUGUAUGUACCAUAUGAAUAAGGAUCGGCUAACUCCGUGCCAGCAGCCGCGGUAAUACGGAGGAUCCGAGCGUUAUCCGGAUUUAUUGGGUUUAAAGGGAGCGUAGGUGGAGUGUUAAGUCAGUUGUGAAAGUUUGCGGCUCAACCGUAAAAUUGCAGUUGAAACUGGCAGUCUUGAGUACAGUAGAGGUGGGCGGAAUUCGUGGUGUAGCGGUGAAAUGCUUAGAUAUCACGAAGAACUCCGAUUGCGAAGGCAGUUCACUGGACUGCAACUGACACUGAGGCUCGAAAGUGUGGGUAUCAAACAGGAUUAGAUACCCGAGUAGUC
rnacentral:rRNA from 1 species